rnacentral:rRNA from 1 species
GGAUGCCUUGGCAGUCAGAGGCGAUGAAAGACGUGGUAGCCUGCGAUAAGCUUUGGGGAGUCGGCAAACAGACUGUGAUCCAGAGAUCUCUGAAUGGGGGAACCCACUCAGCAUAAGCUGAGUAUCUUGUACUGAAUACAUAGGURCAAGAGGCGAACCAGGGGAACUGAAACAUCUAAGUACCCUGAGGAAAAGAAAUCAACCGAGAUUCCCUUAGUAGUGGCGAGCGAACGGGGACCAGCCCUUAAGUUGGUUUGAGAUUAGUGGAACGCUCUGGAAAGUGCGGCCAUAGUGGGUGAUAGCCCCGUACACGAAAAUCUCUUAUCAAUGAAAUCGAGUAGGACGGAGCACGANNNNACUUUGUCUGAACAUGGGGGGACCAUCCUCCAAGGCUAAAU